GCCUCAGUGGCAUAUGUCUGUAGUCCCAGCUACUUUGAGAGGCUGAGGCUGGAGGAUAGCUUAAAUCCAGGAGUACUGGGCUGUAGUGCAUUAUGCCGAAGUGGGUGUCCGCACUAAGUUCGGCAUCAAUAUGGUGACCUCCCGGGACCACCGGUUUUGCCUAAGGAGGGGUGAACCAGCCGAGGUCAGAAACGGAGCAGGUCGAAACUCCCAUGCUGAUCAGUAGUAGGAUCAUGCCUGUGAAUAGCCACUGCACUCCAGCCUGAGCAACAUGGCAAGAUCUCAUCUCUU
rnacentral:SRP_RNA from 1 species